GGGGGCCCGCAAGCGGUGGAGCAUGUGGUUUAAUUCGAUGCAACGCGAAGAACCUUACCUGGUCUUGACAUCCACAGAAUCUUGCAGAGAUGUGAGAGUGCCUUCGGGAACUGUGAGACAGGUGCUGCAUGGCUGUCGUCAGCUCGUGUUGUGAAAUGUUGGGUUAAGUCCCGCAACGAGCGCAACCCUUAUCCUUUGUUGCCAUCGGUUAGGCCGGGAACUCAAAGGAGACUGCCGUUGAUAAAGCGGAGGAAGGUGGGGACGACGUCAAGUCAUCAUGGCCCUUACGACCAGGGCUACACACGUGCUACAAUGGCGUAUACAAAGGGAGGCGACCUCGCGAGAGCAAGCGGACCUCAUAAAGUACGUCUAAGUCCGGAUUGGAGUCUGCAACUCGACUCCAUGAAGUCGGAAUCGCUAGUAAUCGUGAAUCAGAAUGUCACGGUGAAUACGUUCCCGGGCCUUGUACACACC
rnacentral:rRNA from 1 species